rnacentral:tRNA from 1 species
GCCUGGGUGGCUCAGUCGGUUGGGCAUCCGACUUCGGCUCAGGUCAUGAUCUCACCGUCCGUGGGUUCGAGCCCCGCGUCGGGCU